rnacentral:rRNA from 2 species
AAAUUGAAGAGUUUGAUCAUGGCUCAGAUUGAACGCUGGCGGCAGGCCUAACACAUGCAAGUCGAACGGUAACAGGAAGCAGCUUGCUGCUUGCUGACGAGUGGCGGACGGGUGAGUAAUGUCUGGGAAACUGCCUGAUGGAGGGGGAUAACUACUGGAAACGGUGGCUAAUACCGCAUAACGUCGCAAGACCAAAGAGGGGGACCUUCGGGCCUCUUGCCAUCAGAUGUGCCCAGAUGGGAUUAGCUUGUUGGUGAGGUAACGGCUCACCAAGGCGACGAUCCCUAGCUGGUCUGAGAGGAUGACCAGCCACACUGGAACUGAGACACGGUCCAGACUCCUACGGGAGGCAGCAGUGGGGAAUAUUGCACAAUGGGCGCAAGCCUGAUGCAGCCAUGCCGCGUGUAUGAAGAAGGCCUUCGGGUUGUAAAGUACUUUCAGCGGGGAGGAAGGUGUUGUGGUUAAUAACCGCAGCAAUUGACGUUACCCGCAGAAGAAGCACCGGCUAACUCCGUGCCAGCAGCCGCGGUAAUACGGAGGGUGCAAGCGUUAAUCGGAAUUACUGGGCGUAAAGCGCACGCAGGCGGUCUGUCAAGUCGGAUGUGAAAUCCCCGGGCUCAACCUGGGAACUGCAUUCGAAACUGGCAGGCUUGAGUCUUGUAGAGGGGGGUAGAAUUCCAGGUGUAGCGGUGAAAUGCGUAGAGAUCUGGAGGAAUACCGGUGGCGAAGGCGGCCCCCUGGACAAAGACUGACGCUCAGGUGCGAAAGCGUGGGGAGCAAACAGGAUUAGAUACCCUGGUAGUCCACGCCGUAAACGAUGUCUACUUGGAGGUUGUGCCCUUGAGGCGUGGCUUCCGGAGCUAACGCGUUAAGUAGACCGCCUGGGGAGUACGGCCGCAAGGUUAAAACUCAAAUGAAUUGACGGGGGCCCGCACAAGCGGUGGAGCAUGUGGUUUAAUUCGAUGCAACGCGAAGAACCUUACCUGGUCUUGACAUCCACAGAAGAAUCCAGAGAUGGAUUUGUGCCUUCGGGAACUGUGAGACAGGUGCUGCAUGGCUGUCGUCAGCUCGUGUUGUGAAAUGUUGGGUUAAGUCCCGCAACGAGCGCAACCCUUAUCCUUUGUUGCCAGCGGUUAGGCCGGGAACUCAAAGGAGACUGCCAGUGAUAAACUGGAGGAAGGUGGGGAUGACGUCAAGUCAUCAUGGCCCUUACGACCAGGGCUACACACGUGCUACAAUGGCGCAUACAAAGAGAAGCGACCUCGCGAGAGCAAGCGGACCUCAUAAAGUGCGUCGUAGUCCGGAUUGGAGUCUGCAACUCGACUCCAUGAAGUCGGAAUCGCUAGUAAUCGUGGAUCAGAAUGCCACGGUGAAUACGUUCCCGGGCCUUGUACACACCGCCCGUCACACCAUGGGAGUGGGUUGCAAAAGAAGUAGGUAGCUUAACCUUCGGGAGGGCGCUUACCACUUUGUGAUUCAUGACUGGGGUGAAGUCGUAACAAGGUAACCGUAGGGGAACCUGCGGUUGGAUCACCUCCUUACCUUAAAGAAGC